UACGAAGGGGGCUAGCGUUGUUCGGAAUUACUGGGCGUAAAGCGCACGUAGGCGGAUUGUUAAGUCAGAGGUGAAAUCCCGGAGCUCAACUUCGGAACUGCCUUUGAUACUGGCAAUCUAGAGUCCGGAAGAGGUUAGUGGAAUUCCCAGUGUAGAGGUGAGAUUCGUAGAUAUUGGGAAGAACACCAGUGGCGAAGGCGGCUAACUGGUCCGGUACUGACGCUGAGGUGCGAAAGCGUGGGGAGCAAACAGG
rnacentral:rRNA from 1 species